rnacentral:rRNA from 1 species
GACAGAGGGUGCAAACGUUGUUCGGAUUUACUGGGCGUAAAGCGUGUGUAGGCGGCUUUGUAUGUCGGACGUGAAAGCCCACGGCUCAACCGUGGAAGUGCAUCCGAAACUGCAUAGCUUGAGUCCCGGAGAGGAAGGUGGAAUGCUUGGUGUAGAGGUGAAAUUCGUAGAUAUCAAGCAGAACACCUGCGGCGAAGGCGGCCUUCUGGACGGUGACUGACGCUGAGACACGAAAGCGUGGGGAGCAAACAGG